AAGCAGGAAAUGUUACAAUACAACUGUAGUGUUCUAUUGUCGUUCCCCCUGCUUAGAGCAACUGAUGCAUACUAUCUCUGCAUGGCACGAUUUCAUAGCCAGACAGAGACACUUGGCCUCAUACAU
ensembl:snoRNA SNORA63 Small nucleolar RNA SNORA63